rnacentral:lncRNA from 1 species
UCCCCCCCUCCCUCUCCCCACCUCUUCCCCCCCUUCCUCCCUCCCUCUCUGCCCAUCUGUCUGUCUUUCUCCCCCAUCAUAUAUAUAUAUAUACUCCUGUAUAUGUGAAUAUACUAUAUAUUUUUUUCUUCAUAUAUAUCUAUAUAUAUCUGAGCUCUUCCAGCAGUCUGGAUUAGAUGCCGAUUUCUUCAUCCCAGGGACCCAUCUCUGUGCCUUUAUCUCUGCCCACCUUUCACACUGUGAGAUGUGGGGGAAAGGAUUUCCCUACAGAAUGUAAACCACCUUUUAGUCCUUUUAGUCCUGUUCCAGUGGCUUGAGGAAAAGAGUACACCAGGAGCCCCCUGCCAGACUCCAUUUCCCCAGAUCCCUUUUCCCAUUUUUGCCCAGUCUUUUAGCCGCCUACCCUCCAGUCGUGGACCCAGCUCUGAGGCUUUGUGGGUAAUCUACAAGUAUGCCCAGCUUUGCUCAAAACAAGUUCUACUGGAAAGAUGGGAACAAACCAGCGAGAGGGAAAGAAGGAGGGACUGCCUCGUAGCCCUGAAAUGCACGCUGCACUUCCAUCUGUCCACUUGGCCACCUGCUUCUCUCUCAUCGGUGCCAAGUCCUGCCAGCAUCGGCAGGGUCACGUUGGUAGGGAGAGAGAUGUCUGGGGGCAAGUGAGACCUUCGACUCCACUGAAGCAUUCCUCAGCUGAUGGUACACGUCUCUUAGAUGAGAUCUUUUAUGUUACUUCUUACCUGCCAUAUGUCAUUGUCUACGAAUGGCCAGCAGGCACUUCUCUGCCCAUCGCUGAAUGCCCUGUGAUCUGCAUUUCUUCAGAGUCUCUUGCAUUCUGUGACUCACAUCAUAUAGCAUCACCAGGAGAAUAUUGGUUUUUAACCAUCUCAUCCUUUGUUUCAAGAGAAGCUCAAGGAUCCACUAAAGAGUGA